CGAGGACUCGGUUCGGGUGAGGACUCGGUUCGGAUGGCCGGGCGCGGGAUCAGUCCAGCUGAUCAGCAGCUGAUCGAAGAGCUGUAACCGGAUCCUCCGCCAUUACUGCCGGGGAUGCUGCGAAACACACCCACCUUAGAGACACCUGCCGCACAAAAGAGGAACAGCAGCGGCAGUUCCCGCGCUUUUCCUCCAGGCGGCGCCAAAUGGCAAACGCAUCGCCAUGGAAACAGAAAGAGCGGGAAUGUUCAGAGCUCGCCCCCAAUGAUUGAAUGGCUGCUGUGUGUGUGUGUGUGUGUGUGUGUGUGUGUGUGUGUGUGUGUGUGUGUGUGUGUGUGUGUGUGUGUGUGUGUGUGUGUGUGUGUGUGUGUGUGUGUGUGUGUGUGAGUGAGUGAGGAAAACACUUUAUUUUUGAGGCACAUUUGGAAAAAGUUUAGCAUUUUGUGUCAGAGGCUUCAGACUUUGAGAGGUCGUGGACGCUUACUAACGAAGUUUUCAGAAAACUGAAAUAUGAGGAGGAUUUGAAACACAUCAGAACAUCUGAGCUGGUUAAAUCGGGUAAUUACCCAUAAAAGCAGAACAAUCCCCAGUGCUGAGGUGAGGGGUUAAUCGGGUUAGUUAGAGACGAGUGAGUUUGGCCAGCUUUGGGCCGGAGGCGUUUUAAUAGUUUGUAAAAAGAAAAUCAUUUAGUUUAGACAAUUUUUAGAUUUAAGAUUUAUGUACCUGAACUGCAGUGUGUGUGUGCGCGUGCGUGUGUGUGUGCGCGUGCGUGUGUGUGUGCGCGUGUGUGUGUGCGUGUAUGUGUGCGUGUAUGUGUGUGUGAAUGUGUGUGUGUGUGUGUGUGUGUGUGUGUGUGUGUGUGUCCUAUUUCAGGCCUACACGGUUGUAAUAUAAACUAAUAAAUACUAAAGGAUGCAUAUUUGUCGUAUUCGGGUAAGAUUUCAAAAAUAAAUAAUAUUGAAUCAACAAUAGGCUAAAUGUGUUUUAAAUGCACAAUAAGAAAAUUUUAAGACUUGAGGUUGCCAUCUUAAAAUUUUGAACUGGAUGAAUUGGUUUUCACAAGCGGAUUUUUGCUGAUUUGUUUUGAAAAUAAGAUUAUUUAAGUAAAAUCGCACGCUUUUCGAUUGCAAAUGGCUUAAAUACACUUAGAAAUAGUUUUCCAAAGCUACAGAAAGUAGUUCAUUUCACAUAAAAAUAAGUCAAAAUAGUUUUUUUCCCCUAGUUAGAACCGAGUAAUGCGCGGACAAUUUAGAUGCGAUUCAAAAACAUAAGCUUUAAAUUUAGCCUUAAUAUUUGUGUUUGCGAUUUUUCAGAAGUGUAGUGUAUUAUAAAGUUUAGUAUUUCUGGGUUGGUGGUAUUUCUGAUGCAGAUGAAGCAGGAAUUCAGUAAUAACAGAGCGUCCAUUUUAAAAGAUGACAGAGUAAGCUUUACUUUCUAUUGGACGCCGUAUAAUUAGAGAGUUUUUCUUUAACUGUGGUUGUGUGGUGAAAAUCAUCAUCAUCCUCCAGAUGAUUCUUCAGGAGACCGAGAGGGAUCAUCGACCCGCUUAUAAACAUGUGCUGAACUCAUCGAGAGUUAUCUGAGAAAUACUGAACCACUGAGAGAGGCCUGUCAGCAUAAACUGAUCACAGAAACGUUAUGAGAACAGCAUUCCUCGUCCUGUGAUCUGAGAUCAUCUGUUAAACACACUGCGCUCUGAGGUCAGUACACUUCACACAGCCUGCACCGCUGUGACCUUUAACCUCUUUAGAGGUCAGUGUCAGGAGAGAGCAGUGACCCGAGGGUUUCUGAACACACACACUCUCACACACACUCACACACUCACACACACACACACACACACACACACACACACA